AAAGUCGUAACAAGGUCUCCGUUGGUGAACCAGCGGAGGGAUCAUUAAAGAGUUGCAAAGCUCCUAAAAACCAUCGUGAACACAUCCGUCAGCGUUGCUUCGGCGGGCGGCCCCAGGGAGGGGCCGUAGCCUUCCCUCUCCGGAGCGGCGGCGCCCGCCGGAGGCACAAGAACUCUCUGUAUUUUCAGUGGUAUCUCUGAGUAAGCAAGUAAAUUAAGUCAAAACUUUCAACAACGGAUCUCUUGGUUCUG
rnacentral:misc_RNA from 1 species